AAAUUUAAAAAGAAUAUCUAAAACAAUACUAAGUACAAAACCAAAUAUAUGACACCCGAGGCAUAAUACCAACUUGAUCUUCUAACUUGUUGUCCCUUGAACUCUCUGGGUGAGACUUGGAGUCAACUUGUACAAAUGAAAAGCAAAAGUCAAACAUA
rnacentral:lncRNA from 1 species